rnacentral:rRNA from 1 species
UACGUAGGGGGCGAGCGUUGUCCGGAUUUAUUGGGCGUAAAGAGCGUGUAGGCGGCCGAGCAGGUCCGUUGUGAAAACUGAAGGCUCAACCUUCAGAGGUCGAUGGAAACCGUUCGGCUAGAGUCCGGAAGAGGAGAGUUGAAUUCCUGGUGUAGCGGUUAAAUGCGCAGAUAUCAGGAAGAACACGCGUUGCGAAAGCGGCUCUCUGGGACGGUACUGACGCUGAGACGCGAAAGCGUGGGGAGCGAACAGG